AACGAACGCUGGCGGCAUGCCUAACACAUGCAAGUCGAACGAGACCUUCGGGUCUAGUGGCGCACGGGUGCGUAACGCGUGGGAACCUGCCCUUAGGUUCGGAAUAACUCCCCGAAAGGGGUGCUAAUACCGGAUAAUGUCUUCGGACCAAAGGUUUAUCGCCUUUGGAUGGGCCUGGGUCGGAUUAGCUAGUUGUUAGGGUAAAAGCCUACCACGGCGACGAUCCAUAGCUGGUUUGAGAGGAUGAGCAGCCACACUGGGACUGAGACACGGCCCAGACUCCUACGGGAGGCAGCAGUGGGGAAUAUUGGACAAUGGGCGAAAGCCUGAUCCAGCAAUGCCGCGUGAGUGAUGAAGGCCUUAGGGUUGUAAAGCUCUUUUACCCGGGAUGAUAAUGACAGUACCGGGAGAAUAAGCUCCGGCUAACUCCGUG
rnacentral:rRNA from 1 species